CUCCAGGCCCCUGAACACACCACGCACAUCUCAUCAACUGUCCACUCCCAUCUCCAGAGCCUCCUCCAGGUCCCUGAACACACCACGCACAUCUCAUCAACAGUCCACUCCCAACUCCAGCGCUUCCUCCAGGUCCCUGAACACAUCACGCACAUCUCAUCAACAGUCCACUCCCAUCUCCAGAGCCUCCUCCAGGUCCCUGAACACACCACGCACAUCUCAUCAACAGUGCACUCCCAUCUCCAGGGC